rnacentral:lncRNA from 1 species
GGCACGUGUCUAGGAUGGCAGGAUAAGGUGGCAGUACGAUGUUGACAAAGCGGGUUGCCGAUGAGGAUGGUUGCCGAUGAGGAUGGUUGCCGAUGAGGGAGAAGUUGAAUGUGACAGGCAGUAAUGUGGUGCCGAUGGCUAGAUAAGAGAGUCUGCCGAUGACUAUGGCAAAGGGUCUGCCGAUGAUGCAAAGGAAGAGUUUGGAAGCUGCCGGUCGUUUUGUGGA